rnacentral:rRNA from 1 species
UACGAACUGUGCAAACGUUAUUCGGAAUCACUGGGCUUAAAGGGUGCGUAGGCGGCUUGUUAAGUAGGGUGUGAAAGCCCCCGGCUCAACCGGGGAAUUGCGCCCUAAACUGGCGAGCUGGAGUGGGAUAGGGGUGUGUGGAACUUCCGGUGGAGCGGUGAAAUGUGUUGAUAUCGGAAGGAACGCCGGUGGCGAAAGCGACACACUGGGUCUCAACUGACGCUGAGGCACGAAAGCCAGGGGAGCAAACGGG